AGCUGGUAAAAUGGAACCAGAUC
rnacentral:miRNA from 15 species